UGAGGUUUCGGCCAAAGGAAGGGAAUGCUUAGUGGCGGACUGGUGAGUAACGCGUGAGGAACCUGCCUUUCAGAGGGGGACAACAGUUGGAAACGACUGCUAAUACCGCAUGACGCAUGACCGGGGCAUCCCGGGCAUGUCAAAGAUUUUAUCGCUGGAAGAUGGCCUCGCGUCUGAUUAGCUAGAUGGUGGGGUAACGGCCCACCAUGGCGACGAUCAGUAGCCGGACUGAGAGGAAGGUCCCCACAUUGGAACUGAGACACGGUCCAAACUCC
rnacentral:rRNA from 1 species